GCGCCGCGGCGGUGGAAGUGUGUGAACCGCGUCAGGGCCGGGAGGCAGCAGCGCUAAGCAUUCCUUCCAGGCGCCGCGGUUUAGC
rnacentral:SRP_RNA from 1 species